CAUGUCUCCUCAAAGUUACGGAAGAAUUGUCGUCUCCGUAUUGAAAGUAGUAAUCGUCGGUUUAACCUUUCAUAUGAAUCCCUAAUGUCGCGAAUCUAUGAAAAUCGGCCGUGGUGUCUUGUUACACAAGCAGUCCUCCGGGCCGGCCGCACGGUACAGAGCCAGAAUCCCCAGCGUGCCUCGCAGCGACCGGUUAGCGCUGCUGGGAGUUGUAGUCCGGUGGCCUUUGAAGGCGAGUCCGAACUUAGAAAACUAAUUCCCACAAUGCACCGCAGUUCUAAAGCUGAGUCUUGUGCACGAUUGAGUGGUCAGGGAGAAGGAGCCCCCUGAGCAGCAGAAAUAAUCCUGAGUGUCUUCCUUCAGUGAUUCGAUCCCAGUAUCCAACCAUGGCUGUUUCCCAUCUCAAAGGCUCAAAAUUGGAUUCCUUUCCACAUGGCAUUGAAGUCCAACAUGGAGGCUGGUGGCAAUGAAGGGGAGCUGAGUAACGGUGACCUAUCCCACGUGAAUUUGGAAUCUGGAGAUUUAGAAAAGUGUAAACUUCUGGACAAGGUGUCUCUCUACCCCUAGCACAGAGUUCACCCUUUAAAGAUAUACUGCAUAUCUGUUUAUGUACUGCAUGUUUAUCUGUGCUUUAUACAUAACAAGAAUAAGACUUUCAGCCCCAAGGACCAAUUUUCCCUGUUGGGGGAACAUUCACCCCUGGUAAAAAUGCAUGUAUUAACAACAGCUACAAAAACUCAAGGCCACAUUUGAUUGAUUGCU